GUAGCAACAACUUUGGAGAUGAAACAUUAAAAGGACAGUGAGCUUCAUCAUUAUGGAAGUAUGAAAUAACAUCAACCUUCAAGUAAGACAGAUGUUCACGACAUCUGGACAGCAUGUCACCUUGGUAUACUGUCCUUGGGAGGGAAGGACAAAGCAAGCUUCCAUGAAAUGAAAUAUGAGGUAUUACUUUCGGAGCAACCUACAUGUAUGUGACCCAAGACAAUUCCUCUUCACUCAAUGCAGCCCAGGCAAACCGAAGUGUUGGACACUCAUGCUAUACACUGUAUCUACCACAGCUACUUCCCUCAGGCACUGAGUAACUUUCUCUAUGGUGGUCCAUUUGCCUGGGUUACGUAUCAGGGGCAGAGACAUGAGGUGUCUCUGUGAAGAAUUCAUUAAAAAUAUAUAUAUUUUUUAAAUUACGUUUGUGGAUGAACACAUAAUGUUUAUGUGACUGUUAAACAAACAAACAUUGAAACUGAAGAAAUGAGUGCCCCAUGUGCAGCUCUGCCAGAGAGCUGUGGCUGGUGGAACCACCUGUGAGGUGGCUCUGCCCUGAGGGGACGGGCGGCAGUACCUGAGAGGAGCCCGUGCCCCUCAGGUGACCCCAGCUGUGACCUUCAGGUGACCCCGCUCUGGCCGCCUUCAGCGAUAAAGGGCGCGAACGGUGAGGCGGGAAGCAAAAGCGGCGGGAAGCAAAAACGGCGGGAAACGAAAGCGACGUUCUGGGCUCCUAUUGGCUGGCGGGCGGCAGGGACACCUAUAUAAGGCACUCAGGCGCAACAGGUGUGUUUCACAGCGUGUGAGAAGCAUCUGCGUGCUCUGAGAGGAAGGUGGCAAGCGGUGUCCGCGGACUGAGGUGAGGGGGAGCUGGGCAGAGGCAGAGGCUGGACGGUCCCUGUGGAGGCUCCGAUGGUGGGGAACCGCCGAAGCUCCAUUUGCCCAGUCUGCCCGCCUCCGUGACCCUCCGCAGCACCGGCUGGAGCUCCGCAGCGCAUGAGCAUGGAGCUGCUGCAGAAGAAAGAAGCAGCGUGUGGAACUGGAAGGCUACAGCGAGCAAGAGGAGGAAGCGGAAGCCUGUGGAUGGGGGGGAAAGAGAGAGGCUCUCUGGGCAAAAGCACCUCCCUGUUAGCGGGGACACAGUCAUGUUUCGGUAGAGCGCUGCCGGCACCUUGGGUGACCAGGCCGGGUUUGUGCUGGGCGACCUCCCUGUAAGCAGGGCUCGGGUCUUUGCUGUAGCUGGCCUUUUGCCUUGUUGCUCCUUUGGCUGCCUGGGGAGCGUGGCCCCCCGUACGGAGGGCGAGAGCCACCUCUCCGCACCUGAGUGGGAAAUGGAGCUCGCCGUACCCCACGGCCACCCUGUAAGCAGGGUAGGUGCCGUUUCCCUGCCCCUCUUCUCCCGGCCCCUUGGCGUUGCUGCCUGCUGGUGGCCAGUCAAUGCAACGGCCCUGUACUCGGGGUGCGUGUCACAGCCCUUUGCCUUAGCUCAGAACCCUCUUGGCACGUUGAGGUCUGUGGCCUCCGUGCAGCCUGGGGUCACGUCACAGGCUCUUUCCUGUUGCUUGUGGUUGUGGGUUUAUUCCCAGGUGUAGGCUGCGCUGCGUUGUCCUUCCCUUCUGGAAAGUCACAUCUGUGUGUGUGUUCCCCUUCCUUUCCUUGUUUGUGUUUGUGGAGUGACUGUGCAAUUGAACUUUCCUGUUAGGCCUCCACAAAAAAGGCUGCAGCUUAGCUUGGACUUCCCAGGGGGGAAUGGAGGACUUGAUGCGUGGCACAAGUGGGAUGUUCCCUCUUAGUCCCAUGAGCGCAGCGAGUGUCCUGUCACGCCCCCUUUUUUUUAGGACAGAUGAGAGCCACAAGAUAGUUCAGUGGCCAUGGCCACCCUGUAGCCAGGGCUUCGGCCUGUCUCUGCGUGGCCGCCUGCUGGUGGCCAGUCAAUGCAACGGCCCUGUACUCGGGGUGCGUGUCACAAGCUGUUGAGCCCUCUGUCCCCAGAGCAGCCCAGCCCCGCUGUAGUCAGGUCUGGGGAGGCUGCUUUAGCCAGCCAGUUGGUGGGAAUGACCCCUCCCUGUCCCGUUAGAGGGUGCAGGUUGAGGUGCUGCUUGUAGCUGGAGCGACCUCCCCGCUCGGUGGGUCGAGGUUGUUCCCUGGGCUCCCAGAGACGUGAUGUUGUGCUGCAGCCGGGUGGGCCCGCCUGUAGCUCAGGCGUUGGUGGGAGCUGUGUGCUCCGUGGGGCUUCUUGGCGAUGGUGAGAUGUUGGGCACCGUCCUGUAGCCAGGGCUGUGUGUGCCCCGUGUGUUUGGUGAGCUGUGUUCUGAGAGAAGACCCCCUGUAGUCAGGCGGGUAUGUGGCCCUGGCCUUUCAGAGGCACAGGGCCGAUAGAUGUGAGAUUGGGCUUGCACCCUCCCUGCAUUUGGGGCCUGGAUUGCGCCCGCGGCCUUUGGCCGUGCUGUCCCGCUGCCUGGCUGCUGAGUGUCGUUCCUGCUGCUGGGGGGGAAACCGAGCUCUGUGGCUCCGUGGGUGUUGUCGCCCCGCCUGUAACCAGGGUCUGGGUGCAGGAGCCUUUGUGCUCUGCUGGCAGCCUGUGUACACCAGAAUGGGAGAGAAGGAGCCUCCCUCAGCCUACGGACCAGGGCUGCCCUGUAAGUCAGGGAUUGGCCGUGCCUUGGAGUCCCAGGCCCUUUGCAAUGGAGGCAGCGUCAGGGGACCCCUGUAAGCAGGGAAGUUGACCCUUUGGCUGCUGCUUUUUGUGUGCCCAGCUCCAUUUGCCCAGUCUGCCCGCCUCCGUGACCCUCCGCAGCACCGGCUGGAGCUCCGCAGCGCAUGAGCAUGGAGCUGCUGCAGAAGAAAGAAGCAGCGUGUGGAACUGGAAGGCUACAGCGAGCAAGAGGAGGAAGCGGAAGCCUGUGGAUGGGGGGGAAAGAGAGAGGCUCUCUGGGCAAAAGCACCUCCCUGUUAGCGGGGACACAGUCAUGUUUCGGUAGAGCGCUGCCGGCACCUUGGGUGACCAGGCCGGGUUUGUGCUGGGCGACCUCCCUGUAAGCAGGGCUCGGGUCUUUGCUGUAGCUGGCCUUUUGCCUUGUUGCUCCUUUGGCUGCCUGGGGAGCGUGGCCCCCCGUACGGAGGGCGAGAGCCACCUCUCCGCACCUGAGUGGGAAAUGGAGCUCGCCGUACCCCACGGCCACCCUGUAAGCAGGGUAGGUGCCGUUUCCCUGCCCCUCUUCUCCCGGCCCUUUGGCGUUGCUGCCUGCUGGUGGCCAGUCAAUGCAACGGCCCUGUACUCGGGGUGCGUGUCACAAGCUGUUGAGCCCUCUGUCCCCAGAGCAGCCCAGCCCCGCUGUAGUCAGGUCUGGGGAGGCUGCUUUAGCCAGCCAGUUGGUGGGAAUGACCCCUCCCUG